AGUGAACGCUGGCGGUAGGCCUAACACAUGCAAGUCGAACGGCAGCACAGUAAGAGCUUGCUCUUACGGUUGGCGAGUGGCGGACGGGUGAGGAAUACAUCGGAAUCUUCUUUUUCGUGGGGGACAACGUAGGGAAACUUACGCUAAUACCGCAUACGAUCUACGGGUGAAAUCAGGGGAUCUUCGGACCUUGCGCGAUUGAAUGAGCCGAUGUCGGAUUAGCUAGUUGGCGGGGUAAAGGCCCACCAAGGCGACGAUCCGUAGCUGGUCUGAGAGGAUGAUCAGCCACACUGGAACUGAGACACGGUCCAGACUCCUACGGGAGGCAGCAGUGGGGAAUAUUGGACAAUGGGCGAAAGCCUGAUCCAGCCAUGCCGCGUGAGUGAAGAAGGCCUUCGGAUUGUAAAGCCCUUUUGUUAGGAAAGAAAAUAUGCAGGUUAAUACCCCGAUGUUCUGACGGUACCCAAAGAGAAAGCACCGGCUAACUACGUG
rnacentral:rRNA from 1 species